AUGAUUAUGCUGCUACUGUAUUCUCCCCAGAACAUUUGGUUCAAAAAAGAAGACACUGCUUUUCGUGAUAAAAUGGCUGUGGUGAAACCCUCCAGCAGAGAACCAAAGAAUGCCGAAGAAUCAUUUAACAAGGUAUCAUCCCUCCUUUUGAAGAACCUAGUGGAGGAGCCCAAGAAAAGAACAGAGGUACCUAAUCACCUCCUAGAAUCAAGUAUUAUUCACCCCUGUGGGGGUUGAAGAAGAGGACUCACCCUUCUUAAAAUAGACUUGUUUCUGACUCACACCUGUCAUGAUUAGCUUGUCAAGAUUCACCUGGUUUCAAGAAGAGUUGGCUUCCUUCCAGGAUAGUAAUUAUGGUUAAUAACAAUUGACUGGUAAUUUAUAAAGGUGCUAUACCAAAAAAAUUAGCAACAUCAUGGCUCUUUGGGGCCAUGAAUUACUUUUUGAAAAGUUUACUUCACUUUAAUUUUCUUAGUAUAUGUCAGUGAUUCCAAUAAUGUUACUAAAUUUCAAAUUAUUUUGCCCUCUUCAUAAUUUUAAUCAUAUUAACUGCUAUUUAACUAUUUCUUUCAUUCAUACUUUUUUGUAUAUGAUUUUGUUAUGCCAAAUGAGGAUGUAUACUGGUGUAUGUUGUCAUGUUUUUAAUAGAGUUAAGGCUCUCCUCCUUUUCAAUUCCACACAUACUUAGUAAGAGCAUCCAGCACGUGCAAAGAAGAGUAUGCAGGCAUUGUGGGAGAUUUUGAGGCGAAUAGAAUCAAGGAGUUUUUCACGUGGCAAAGGACAUUAAAAAAACCACCAAACAACUUGAACACAAAACCAAACAAGCAGGGUAGCAUUAAGAACUAAGAAGAAAAUGCCCUGUGAAGAGAAGAAACCAUCUUUCCCACAAUGAAGGGUUGAAAAAAGGCUAGUGGAGGAGGAGGUAUUUGGAAUAGCCCUAAGAUAAGGUGAGGAGAGGUCCUUAGAGCAAGAAGAGGAGUUCAGGGUGAACAAGCAUGAGGCUUAUUUGGAGACCAUUGUGCAGUCUGGUUUACGUGGCUUGCAGAGCUUUUGGAGGGAGGUAAUGGCAGAGAAAGUGGAAAAUGUAGGUUGGGACUGAAAUAUCAAUACCAGGAGAUUGUAAUUCAGAAAGCAGCAAGAAACUAAUGAAGUGUUUGUGAGCAGAAUGAUAUGGUUGAAGAUCAGUUUAGUGGAAGCUCAGAGGAUAGAUGUGGUUCCCAACCUUUUUUCCAUUAUCAUCCCCAAAGGAGAAAUUAACAAGAGAAAUUAAGUACUGACGAAUAUGAGUUUGUCAAGUAGGGUUGAGCUUGGGAAGGUCACAAGCUACUGUACUAUCUGUUGUUUUGUUUUGUUUUUUGCCAUCCCAAGAAUCAAUUUUCAUGCCCUCUGGGAGUGAUAUCGCCUUUGUUAAGAAUGCAUGGAAGGAAGUGGAUGUGGCUCAACUGAUAGAGUGUCUGCCUGCCAUAUGGGAGGCCCAGGGUUCAAACCCAGGGCCUCCUGACCUGUGUGGUGAGCUGGUCCAUGUGCAGUGGUGAUGUAUGCCAGGAGUGCCAUGCCACGCGGGGGUGUCCCCCGUGUAGGGGAGGCCCAUGCACAAAGAGUCCGUCCCCACAAGGAGAACUGCCCUGCGUGAAAAAAGCACAGCCUGCCCAGGAGUGGUGCCACACAAAUGGAGAGCUGACGCAGCAAGAUGACGCAACAAAAAGAGACACAUAUGCCCGGCGCUGCUGACAAAAAUGCAAGAAAACAGAAGAACACACAGCAAAUGGACACAGAGAGCAGACAAUGGGGGGAAAGGGAGAGAAAUAAAAUAAAAUAAAAAAUUAAAAAAAUCUGAAAAACAAAUGCAUGGAGAACAAGAUAGUAUGAUUUAAUUAUUUUAAAAGAUACCCCAACCCUGCUUCACUCUACUGCAAAAGAGGCUGUGCCAUUCUUUUGUAUUACUACUUCCCUGGUACCUAACACAAUGCCAAACACACCAAAGACACUCAAAAAACACUUGUGAAUGGAAUUGGACUGGCUUUGUUGGAAGAGAUUGACCCAGAGACUCACUAAUUCUAAGUAAAUACAGUGUAAAGUCUAACUCAUGCUGCUUCUGUCAAUCACUAAAACAGUCUGAAGACAUAAGAGUGCAAAAUGAUUUAAUGACAUUCUGGGAGAUGGUGGGAGAGCCAGCCUUCGGUUUCUACCAGCAACGUCAAGCAGAAGUCUAAGGCAAUUACCUUGAGAUUGCUGCAAAAUGGAGAGGUAAAACCAACAACUCUUUCAUCUUGUUUGGCUACAGGAAACUAUGAAAAUUGCCCAAGAACUGAGGAUUGAAUGUGCAUUUGAAACCACAAUAAGUUGUUUAUUAACGUUUGAGAUUGAUCCAGGUCUGGGUAAAGGAUUGAAAAUAUUCUACUUGGACACAUAUUGAAAUCAAUAUUUUGAUUUACUGUAACAUUUGAAAUAACAGUUCCUGGUUUUCUCAACACCAGACACCCCUUAAAUUCUUUUUUCAUCUGUGGAAAGAUCUUCUCUGGGAAAGCAUAUUUAAGUAAAUAAUUAAUCCAUUUCCCCAUGAGAUAACCAGUGUUGCUGUUGCCAGCCCCAAAUAAAAUUGUUAGCCUCUACAGCCUUAUCUUAAGUAAAUGAACAAUUUCUUUCACGCUUUCCAAAAUAGUGACAUUAGUGUUUCUGAUUCCCUGCUACAGCUUUUGCAGACACCCCCUCCUCCCCCCUUGCCGAUCUUCUCAAAAUCAGAG
ensembl:lincRNA